UACGUAGGCAGCGAGCGUUGUUCGGAGUUACUGGGCGUAAAGGGUGUGUAGGCGGUUGUUUAAGUUUGGUGUGAAAUCUCCCGGCUCAACUGGGAGGGUGCGCCGAAUACUGAAUGACUAGAGUGCGGGAGAGGAAAGUGGAAUUCCUGGUGUAGCGGUGAAAUGCGUAGAUAUCGGGAGGAACACCGGUGGUGUAGACGGCUUUCUGGACCGUAACUGACGCUGAGACACGAAAGCGUGGGUAGCAAACAGG
rnacentral:rRNA from 1 species